UACGGAGGGAGCUAGCGUUGUUCGGAAUUACUGGGCGUAAAGCGCACGUAGGCGGCUUUUUAAGUCAGGGGUGAAAUCCCGGGGCUCAACCCCGGAACUGCCCUUGAAACUGGAGAGCUAGAAUCUUGGAGAGGCGAGUGGAAUUCCGAGUGUAGAGGUGAAAAUUCGUAGAUAUUCGGAAGAACACCAGUGGCGAAGGCGACUCGCUGGACAAGUAUUGACGCUGAGGUGCGAAAGCGUGGGGAGCAAACAGG
rnacentral:rRNA from 1 species